GCCCGCCUAGCUCAAUCGGAUAGAGCGUCAGACUUUUAAGAAGUCCCAAAGCGGGUGAUCUUCAUAAAAUCUGAAGGCUGCGAGUUCGACCCUCGCGGUGGGCU